GAUUAUGGCUCAGGAUGAACGCUAGCUACAGGCUUAACACAUGCAAGUCGAGGGGCAGCAUGAUCAAAGCUUGCUUGAUUGAUGGCGACCGGCGCACGGGUGAGUAACGCGUAUCCAACCUUCCCUAUAGUAGUGGAUAGCCCGGCGAAAGUCGGAUUAAUACACUAUGUUGUAUUUAGAGGACAUCUGAAGAAUACCAAAGGCUUGCCGCUAUAGGAUGGGGAUGCGUCUGAUUAGAUAGUAGGCGGGGUAACGGCCCACCUAGUCGACGAUCAGUAGGGGUUCUGAGAGGAAGGUCCCCCACAUUGGAACUGAGACACGGUCCAAACUCCUACGGGAGGCAGCAGUGAGGAAUAUUGGUCAAUGGACGGGAGUCUGAACCAGCCAAGUAGCGUGCAGGAUGACGGCCCUAUGGGUUGUAAACUGCUUUUAUACGGGGAUAAAGUGAGCCACGUGUGGCUUUUUGUAGGUACCGUAUGAAUAAGGACCGGCUAAUUCCGUGCCAGCCGCCGC
rnacentral:rRNA from 1 species